GACGUAGGGCGCGAGCGUUGUCCGGAUUUAUUGGGCGUAAAGAGCUCGUAGGCGGCUUGUCGCGUCGUCCGUGAAAACCUGCAGCUCAACUGCAGGCUUGCGGUCGAUACGGGCAUCACUGGAGUUCGGCAGGGGAGACUGAAUUCCAGGUGUAGCGGUGAAAUGCGUAGAUAUCUGGAGGAACACCGGUGGCGAAGGCGGCAUCCUGGACCAUUACUGACGCUGAAUAGCGAAAGCCAGGGGGAGCAAACGGG
rnacentral:rRNA from 1 species